rnacentral:rRNA from 1 species
GUGCAGCAGGCGCGAAACCUCCGCAAUACACGAAAGUGUGACGGGGCCAUCCCGAGUGCCGUCCGCUGAGGACGGCUUUUCCCCAGUGUACAUAGCUGGGGGAAUAAGGAGAGGGCAAGCCUGGUGUCAGCCGCCGCGGUAAUACCAGCUCUCCGAGUGGUAGCCACGUUUAUUGGGUCUAAAGCGUCCGUAGCCGGCUGGGUAAGUUCCUUGGGAAAUUUGGCUGCUUAACAGUCAAGCUUUCAGGGAAUACUGCCCGGCUUGGGACCGGGAGAGGUCAGAGGUACUCCAGGGGUAGGGUGAAAUCCAUUAAUCCGUUGGGGGACCACCGGUAGCGAAGGCGUCUGACCAGACCGGGUCCGACGGUGAGGGACGAAGGCUAGGGGCGCGAACCGGAUUAGAUACCCGGGGUA